GGAAGUGGCUUUCACAGGAAAAAAAAGGGAAUUUUGGGUGGGAAACAGGAAUUUUGGGGGGGGUUGAAUGGAAUUUUGCUGGAAAAACGGGAAUUUGGGCUGGAAAAUUUGGAGAUUUUGGGGGGAAAAAGAUUUGAAUUUUGGGGUUCGGGGCUGAAAUUUUGGGGUUCCUUGUGAGGUUUUGGGUUUGGAUUUUUUUUUUUGGUUCCUGGUUGGAACAUUGGUGGUUCCAGGUCAGGAUUUUGGGGUUCUGAAUUUGGAUUUAGGGUGUUCCAGGUCGAGAUUUGGGGGUUCUGUGUUUGAAUUUUGGGGUUCCUGGGUGAGAUUUUUCAGUGCCUGGUUGGGACUUUGGGGUUUUGUGUUUGAAUUUUGGGGUUCUGGGCUGGAAUUUUGAGGUUCCAGGUUGAGAUUUUGGGGUUCCAGGCUGGGAAUUCGGAGUUCCUUGAUGGGAUUUUGGGGUUCCAGGUUGGGAUUUUUGGGUUCUCUGUUUCAAUUUUGGGGUUCCAGGCUGGGAUUUUGGAGUUCUCUGUUUGAAUUUUGGAGUUCCUGGCUGGGAUUUUGGGGUUCUGUGGUUGAAUUUUGGGGUUCUCUGUUGGGAUUUUGGGGUUCCAGGUCGGGAUUUUGGGGUUCCAGGCUGGGAUUUUGGGGUUCUGUGGUUGAAUUUUGGGGUUCUCUGUUGGGAUUUUGGGGUUCCAGGUCGGGAUUUUGGGGUUCCAGGCUGGGAUUUUGGGGUUCUGUGGUUGAAUUUUGGGGUUCUCUGUUGGGAUUUUGGGGUUCCAGGUCGGGAUUUUGGGGUUCCAGGCUGGGAUUUUGGGGUUCUGUGGUUGAAUUUUGGGGUUCUCUGUUGGGAUUUUGGGGUUCCAGGUCGGGAUUUUGGGGUUCCAGGCUGGGAUUUUGGGGUUCUGUGGUUGAAUUUUGGGGUUCUCUGUUGGGAUUUUGGGGUUCCAGGUCGGGAUUUUGGGGUUCCAGGCUGGGAUUUUGGGGUUCUGUGGUUGAAUUUUGGGGUUCUCUGUUGGGAUUUUGGGGUUCCAGGUCGGGAUGUCAGGCUCCUCCCCCAGCUCCUCUCUGUAAUAUUCGGCGUCGUCCUCGUCCGACGGCUCCGCCUCACCUGCCUCAGGUGCGCCGGGGUCCUCGACGUCACUGUCACCUGUGGGGUCACCUGGGCCACCUGCAGGGGCACCUGGGCCACCUGCUGCCCGGCCCAUCCCGGCCAGGCUGCGCUCCCUGGGAGAGACAGGUCCUGCUCCUGUUUCCGGCGCCGCUCCGCCCUCACCUGCAGCCGCUGCUCCUUCCGGGCCAGCAGCUCCCGCAGCUCCUCCUCACCUUUGGGGGCUGGGGGAACACCUGAGAUCAGCUGGGUGCACCUGAGAUACACCUGGGCACACCUGAGAUACACCUGAGAUCAGCUGGGUGCACCUGAGAUGCACCUGGGCACACCUGAGAUACACCUGAGAUCAGCUGGGUGCACCUGAGAUGCACCUGGGCACACCUGAGAUACACCUGAGAUCAGCUGGGUGCACCUGAGAUGCACCUGGGCACACCUGAGAUACACCUGAGAUCAGCUGGGUGCACCUGAGAUGCACCUGGGCACACCUGAGAUACACCUGAGAUCAGCUGGGUGCACCUGAGAUGCACCUGGGCACACCUGAGAUACACCUGAGAUCAGCUGGGUGCACCUGAGAUGCACCUGGGCACACCUGAGAUACACCUGAGAUCAGCUGGGUGCACCUGAGAUCACCUGGGCACACCUGAGAUACACACCUGGGAUACACCUGUCCCCUCACCUGUCCCAGGUGUGUCACUCACCCAGGCCGUGGUACAGGACGUCGCCCUGGCCCAGCCCCUCCUCCACCUUCAGCAGCUGCAGCGUCAGACGGGGCCCGAUCUGGGAGAGGGGACAGAGGGACAGAGGGACAGACAGAGGGACACGGGGACA
rnacentral:lncRNA from 1 species